AGCACUGUAUGGUAUCUGCAGCCAGCCGCUACUCUGGCUGGACUGUUCAGUACUCAGUGCAAGAGCAACUCGGCAUAUGGCAUCGUUGGUCUCCAUGCCUCUUUGUGGCUGCAGUCCUGGUAUAUCUGUUGAGACAUUU